UUUCUGAUAUAUCUUCCUUUAGUUGAUUUAUUGAAGCAUCUUUUAACCGCAAAAAAUAUAGAAUUAAUGUGGUAAAAAUCUGAAAUUGAAGUUAAUUGUUUUCCUUCCAACUCAAAACUCUAAUUCCAAUUCACAUCUUAAUAAACACUAUCUUCUCUUCUCAUAUUCCCUGUUUUCAUCUUCUAUCUUCACAGUUUCUCUCCAACACCCAAACAUACCAUGUUCAGCCUCACCUGCACUUUGACUUUUGUUAUCCCUCAACCUUCUCCUUCUCCCUACCAUCCCUAAUAUUAGGCACAUCCUCAUCUACUACUUCUUAUUCUCAAGUUUGCAAUUCACUAUUCCUACAAAACCUCCAAUCAGCUUCCGCCAUCUGGCUUUCUUUCCUUUAGUUUUCAUUUUUUUUCCAAUGGCCUCUGGGAUACGACUAACCAGUCAUCAUCCUCAUCUCAAUCGCGUGUUGCCUCUGCUCUCCACCCACUCCGCCGUACACUAGCUAGCAAUCGCGUGUUGCCUCUCCCUCUUCACCCACUCCGUUGUACCCUUCGUCAUCUUCUUUUUCAUUGAUUUCUCUUCUGAAAUCAACCCUAGCUAGCUUUCCUCUUCUCCAAAUCCAUCCAAACCCUAGAUGUGUUUCCGUGUUUAAGUUGCUCUUUCCAUCCACUUCUCACCAAUCCAUCAACUUCAUCUUUUCGAUUGAUCUGAUGUCGCCUUUGUUUCGUCGCCGGUUGCUGUUCAUUCGUCAUUCCCUCUUCUCAGUUGCCGAACUUUUUGGGUUGAAUGCAUCUUCGAAGGUUGAUUUUGUGAUCAAAUGAUUCCAUUCAAAGCUUAUGCCCUGGAAGAGAAGCAUGAAAGAUCAGAGCAAGGGUGAUUAGAAAGGGAGCUCCAUAGUUGGCAAUUGUGAUCUUGAAUUUGCUGAAGGACUGUCUUUCAGUAGUAAAUUAUGGCCACUCCUAAACAUAUUAGUGAACUGAUACAUGUGGAAGGCAUGGCAAUUGACGAAUUCAAAAGCCACUUGCAAGUGAGUGUGUUUGUAUUUCAUUAGGUUCCUAACAAACCUGGAAGGUUUUCAGUUCUGACAAAUUUAAUUCAUGUAUUUAUUUUGUUUAUUGCAGGGGGAAAUAUCUGAUAAAGACCAUGAAUGAGGUGGGUGGUAGGAAAAUCCUCAUUUUGCAAGAAUUUGUUUGGGUGAUGUGCUGAAAAGCUUAAUUAUUUUUAUAUUGUUUUUAUUUUUAUAAACUAUGCUUCAAAUUUUGAUUACAGAACAGUGACAGUCAUCCUAAAUUACCAAAUUCAAACCAUUAAGCAUGGAACUUCUUGAAUUGUUUGGAGUUCUUAUGACUCUUAAAGUUGAAAGGCUUAAAGUUUCACAUUGGAGAACUCAACGAUCAUACCUCAUUGCUUAAAAGGUCUCUGUUGGUAGAGGGAGGAAUAUGACAAGGUGUAUCUAUGGAGAAUAGGAGCUCGAGUCUGUUGGGCUUAUAAAUGAAGGGAAGAUGCAUUAAAUUGUGACGGCACAAGAAUGAGGAGAAGGUGAGCCAUCAAAAUUGUGAUAGGGAAGGGACAUAUCAAUUAUGCUUGAGUUUAAGUUCUUCAAUUAUGACGGCACAAGAAUGAAGUUUUUUGAUUAGGGAGACACUCAUUCUCAAUUUCUCACUCUUAACAUAAAUUCUGGUUCCAAAUUUUGUCUGUCUUUCCUCCAAAAUCAAUCAUCUUGAUCCUUAGAUGUAAAAUCAAGACUCUUAUGUCAUGUAUAAUAUGUAAUUUGUUCA